rnacentral:rRNA from 1 species
UACGGAGGGUGCAAGCGUUAUCCGGAUUCACUGGGUUUAAAGGGUGCGUAGGUGGGUCUGUAAGUCAGUUGUGAAAUCCCCGAGCUUAACUUGGGAACUGCCGUUGAUACUAUAGAUCUUGACUAUCGUGGAGGUAAGCGGAAUAUGUCAUGUAGCGGUGAAAUGCUUAGAUAUGACAUAGAACACCAAUUGCGAAGGCAGCUUACUACACGAUCAUUGACACUGAGGCACGAAAGCGUGGGGAGCAAACAGG